AAAAUUUAUCAAAAAAUAAAUACUUGGUUGAGUAAUGCAUAAAAAUUCCACUAACCAAUGAGAGACAUUUUCUUAAAAAAAUCAAUCCAACCCAAUUGCCUUAAUAUUUAAAGAGUUGAAAAAUUUUAUUGGGAAUGGACAGUAUAUAAGACGCGAAAAUUAUACUGGAAAAUCAUAAAUUACUUAAUCGCAAAGAUGAAAAAGUUUAUUGUUUUAUUCCUUCUUGUGUCAGUUGUUGCUGCAGCUCUUGCUGCCUCCAGCGGUAGCACAGGUGGCUCUUCAGGUGCAUCUGCAAGCUCAGGUGGCGGCAAUGCAGCUUCUACUGCAAGUACUGACUCGUCGUCAUCAAGCCAAUCUGAUAGUGGAGGCUUCAUGGACAGGGCCAUGAAAAUGUUUAGUGGAAUAAUGUAAUUAAAAUGGAGAUCACCACAUUUGUACUUAUGAACAUGUUUGAUCAAAAUUAACAAAUAUGAACAACUAUCUCUAUCAAUUUUUGUGAAUCUUUUGGAAAACAAAAAUAAUUCGUUUCAAUUUUAGCUU